ACUUCAGAGGCAAAGAGGAACCCGGAGACCAGGCCACCUGCACAGGCGCUUCCGGGCUGCGCCUCCAGAACAGAUAUCAGAACUCUCCACCUCUGAGUGUAAUGAAGUCACCUCCCGAGACCGCUGCUGCCGGAAAACGGGAGCUCUCAACAACUGAGCACCUGCUCAGCUCAGGAAGGAUCAGGAAACAUGCUUGUGAUCCUUCAUUUGCAUGUCAACACAGCCAACGGAAAGACACUAUUCCUGAUCCCUCAUCUGCAUACAGUGGGAAGCCAAAGGAGUUUUGCCAAGUGUUUGCUAAGACUACUUUCCCAGUGUUUCAUUUGUGAGAAAGAGGUUAAAAACAAAAGAGAGAGGGAGGGGUAACCUGAAAAUGUUGGAUACAAAAGAUGCCUUUCCCCUUUCCUCCAGCUCUGGAGCUCUCCCGCCGGCUGCCGCCCGCCUGCACAGUGCAUUUCCUUUCCACUUUCAGGUAAGAACACCUUCCCUGCCUUUCCUCUGGGUCUCUUCCAGUUCUGUCCGCAGCCAGCAACCUGGAGAGAAGCCUGCGGGGCCGGGCAGUGACACUGUCUGAAGACUGAGGCUGCGCGCCAUCAACUCCUGCCAGGUGGAGGUGGGGCCGGCCGGCCG